GAGUAACGCGUAGGAAUCUACCCGGUAGUGGGGGACAACUCGGGGAAACUCGAGCUAAUACCGCAUACGCCCUGAGGGGGAAAGCGGGGGACCUUAUGGGCCUCGCGCUAUCGGAUGAGCCUGCGUUGGAUUAGCUGGUUGGUGGGGUAAAGGCCUACCAAGGCGACGAUCCAUAGCUGGUCUGAGAGGAUGAUCAGCCACACCGGGACUGAGACACGGCCCGGACUCCUACGGGAGGCAGCAGUGGGGAAUAUUGCGCAAUGGGCGAAAGCCUGACGCAGCCAUGCCGCGUGUGUGAAGAAGGCCUUCGGGUUGUAAAGCACUUUCACUUGGGAGGAAACGUUCACGGUUAAUACCCGUGAGCCUUGACGUUACCUUGAGAAGAAGCACCGGCUAACUCCGUGCCAGCAGCCGCGGUAAUACGGAGGGUGCGAGCGUUAAUCGGAAUUACUGGGCGUAAAGCGCGCGUAGGCGGUUUGUUAAGUCGGAUGUGAAAGCCCCGGGCUCAACCUGGGAAUUGCAUCCGAUACUGGCCGACUGGAGUGCGAGAGAGGGAGGUAGAAUUCCACGUGUAGCGGUGAAAUGCGUAGAUAUGUGGAGGAAUACCAGUGGCGAAGGCGGCCUCCUGGCUCGACACUGACGCUGAGGUGCGAAAGCGUGGGUAGCAAACAGGAUUAGAUACCCUGGUAGUCCACGCCGUAAACGAUGUCGACUAGCCGUUGGGGAACUUGAGUCCUUGGUGGCGCAGUUAACGCGCUAAGUCGACCGCCUGGGGAGUACGGCCGCAAGGUUAAAACUCAAAUGAAUUGACGGGGGCCCGCACAAGCGGUGGAGCAUGUGGUUUAAUUCGAUGCAACGCGAAGAACCUUACCAGGCCUUGACAUCCCCGGAAUCCUGCAGAGAUGCGGGAGUGCCUUCGGGAAUCGGGUGACAGGUGCUGCAUGGCUGUCGUCAGCUCGUGUCGUGAGAUGUUGGGUUAAGUCCCGUAACGAGCGCAACCCUUGUCAUUAGUUACCAGCACUUUGGGUGGGAAGUUUAAGGAGACUUCCGGUGUCAAACCGGAGGAAGGUGGGGACGAUGUCAAGUCAUCAUGUCCCUUACG
rnacentral:rRNA from 1 species